UUUGUCGUCAAUGAAACUUUACUCCCAAACAGAGUGACGUAUAGAAAAUCGUGUUGCCCUUAGCCGUUCAUAGAAUGUUAGCUGCGGAAAAAAUUUUGCCAAAAAACACCUGUAUUCAUGGCCGAUUCGUCUAAAAGGAUGGUUGUCAAUCGAAAUUUUUGUACAAAUAAUUAAUACGAUUUUGCUGUUUCUAGCGCUCGAAAACGUCACGUCUUAUGACGUCUGUGAACGACACAGCUAUGCUGAAUUAUAUUUCUAUUUGUUCUAUGUGUAUUGCUUUGCUAUUUCGGUAAUAAUGUACUAGCCACAGGAGUAAGUACAAUGUCGGUUCGUUAAAAAGUUGUCGAGAGCGGGAGAUUGCUCUAGAUUCAGUAGAACCAAUCUUUAAAAAUACUUGAGUGUAAUGGUACUGCUUCGUUCUUAUCACAAAGUCCAUACAAAACAAUUGGUUUAAUUUUAAAUCAAGGACCCUAUUGAGGAAAGACUUAGGACAGAGAAAGAAAAAAUCCAUGGAAAGUAUAACGUUGGAGUGCACUGAAAGGACAUGAAUUACGAAACGCCCGCACUAUCGACAGCCGAGACUUAGUACCAGAGGUAAACAAACACCCGAGCAUAAGCGGAGACACAUUUUCCUUGACGCAUGUGCCAAAUUACACGCGUGUGCCGAUCGACAGGCAUGGCUUCAGUUUCAAAAUUCUGCGAAGACGUUGAGCAACGGGCCUCAUACAAUAGCAAAGUCGACGAUUCUAUCAUCAAACACCAAAAAUCAAAGCAAGUUGUGACGUUAUUAAUUUACCUUACGUCGGGCCCAUUUAGUGACUAAAGGGAUCAGAUUUACUUAGAAGUCCCAGCAAUGAAUAGUUGCGACGACCUCGGCGAAGUACGCAGCCUAUAUACACUCAGAAAGCCCGUAUACCGAUUGACUGUUUGGAAUAUCAAAGCCAAAAAUUUGGCCAAAUGGUACAGAAAUUUGCUCGGAAAUUAAAUUGACGAAACAGUGACAAUAGCGGCUUUCAAAGAAGCUAAUGCUGUAGAAAGUGACGAUACUCCCGUAAGGCAAACCCCGUGCGCCACUCUGCAAAAUAACUAAAGCCAGCGAGCAUUCUCCAGAUGCGAUCUGAUGCAAUCUUCAAGGGUGGCCAGUGCAUUCGUUGCAGGGACGUGGGCCCAACGUGUGGACGCAUCACCUCUGGAAAAAGAUUGUUGGAGUGAGUUUAAGGUUAAUUCUCUGGAGAUAUGCUAAUGCAUUAUACGUUAUCCAAAAUAGUACCAAUACUAGUAACAAAUGCGUUAAUUUUCAUACUUAUGAACUGACUUGAUGUGGUUCAUACCGGAUAUGUUGAAGUAACGAUAGAGGUGGAUUCCGGAUGCAAGGUGACUGAUGUACCAAUGUUUCAGUACAAAAAGUUAAUAUUCCUGUUAAACGUGACAAAUAACAAGAACGCGGUUCUGUAUUCGUUCAUUGAAGUUGAUGCUACGUAGAAUCGCUGACAGGGUUAUCACGGCGGUACCUUUUGGACGAUGUAGCUUUACCUGUCGAUGUGAGCAUCUCGCUGGGCUAAAAAAACCUUCAGAUUGAAGGGUGCCAUUGGUGUUGUGUCAAGAUCUAGAGUCAUUAAGCUGUCGGAACGUUAGCAAAGCCCAUUUACGUAUUGUAUAGUUUAAUUCUUACCCCAAAGCCUACAAGCCAAGAAUUGUGCGCGAGGUGAGUGAGUACGGUACAAAGUCAUUUAUAAACAACAGAAGGAAAAGAAUUGCACAAAGUGGAAGGAAAACCUGCAAAAAUAAAGAAUCGAAGUUCAGUUAAAACUGUGACGAAAUAAUGCAAAUAUCUGAGUCACCUCUAUUUCCGCCUUCAGUUUGUACAUAACGCAAAGAGAUAUCGAUUUACUUGCACCCAGGGCAGAGAGUGUAGUCAGUCGUUUGUUUGUGCACAACCAGUCCUGAAUGGAUCCACGAGUCAACAGAGGAAUCGAUUCCGGAUAACCGAUUACUGUCAAUGAAUGCAUCGAUUAGUACGACGCGUACUGAAAAAACCGGAUCACUUUCAUCGAUGGAGAAUCGAAGAAACCUAAAGGAAAUGUCGGCGCAUCAACAGUUGUCGACUGGAAAGUGGUCACGGAAUUUCUUUAAGCCUUCUCAGACUUACAGUGCCGUAAUCGCAAGUUUCGUCAAGAACGAGGAGGUAAGAGAAGCAGCUGGCCAGUCGAAGCGUUAUGGAGCACAUGAUGAACUCGUGGUCCUGGAUCAUUGCUUCUCGUUAUCACAUACAUUAUGUGGCCGGUUAAUGUCAUUCAGUUAUGCUACCGUGCUGCGUGCUAGAUCUGUUCCCAUAGCAGCCAUAUGUUGGCUAUGUUAACGGAUGAAAAUUGCAGGCUUACUCUCAGCUCUCAGUUACGCGGAAAAUAUGUCGUUUUUGCUCAAACAUAUUUUCAUUAUGUGGCACAUGUGUAUGGCCAUAAGAUCUGGUAAGAAAAGGCGAUAAAAGAAACAUAUAGUUGUUUGAUUUACGUUUUAAAUGGCAAAAGUGGUUCAAGUUGUAUAAAAAAAAAAAACUUUCAGUUACUUGUUGAAAGAAUGGAACAAUUGGGACUCUGUUACACUCACGCUCGAAAAUUACGGCUACGAUUACAGUUCGAGGCGGGGUUUUGAACUACAGUAUUUAAAAAAUUAUGCUAAAGCAGAAAUAACAGGAUCUGAUGAGCCGUCAUUCACCGGUAUACCUAGACCGUUUAGUUGAUAAGCGAAUUGGUCUGCAUUUUGCCCUUUGUAUAUGUGGGGAAAGAAAAAGAUCUAAAAUUCAGUUGAAUUCACCAAAUCUCUAUACAGUUCUUCGUCCUUCCGGAGGGGUACCGAGAACCGCGACUUCAGCAUAGCAUAGGCGGUGGGUAAAUUUAAAUUGGACACUGCGUGACAACCGGGACAAGCUCCAUCCUAAUUUUAAGUGAAUCGGUUGCAAUUCAGUACUGCUGGCUUAAUACAGGUUCUUUUAUAGCGAAACCGUAGGGCGACAAAUGCGCGAGUAAUAUAGUCAUCCGCCCGCGCACACGAUUGAGGUUAGUCCACAUGUUGGCUUAUCGGAAUCAGGCAGGGGAUCAUCUUCAAUCAACAACGGCUUCUUUCACGAAAGAAAGAAAUUUACGAAUAUACCAGAAGCGCCGGAGAGAUAGAUGACGAGGACACAUGGAUGCGAAAUCGGUGCGAGUUUCAAGAACAGGCAACUGUGAGGCACUCCUGAGCUUAGGAGUCGGCUAAAGGAAACCUUUAAAAUCGGUUCAAUUGUCAUCAGGUUUCCUCUAAACCUAUGCUAAACAAUACUGUCUCCUCAAUUAUCGCCUCAUCAAUGGGAAAGCGGCAAAGCUUUGACUGGGCUUCAGCAUGAGCCUAGCAGGCCAUGUUAAACUGAUGCUCACAUUGAAUCGAUUUUUGAGGUUACACGAACCAUGUGAUUCUAAAAGGCUAAAACUACAAACGUACAACAGCGAUAGGUCGCCCACGAAAUACGUUGUAGCAAUUACCAGCAUCUCUAUACCGCUGACUCUCAAGAGCCGGAGUAGAUUAAGCAACAUCCGAAUUCGGUGUCCUCUCAUAGUCG